rnacentral:rRNA from 1 species
AGGGAAUAUUGCGCAAUGGAGGAAACUCUGACGCAGCGACGCCGCGUGAGCGAUGAAGGCCUUCGGGUCGUAAAGCUCUGUCCUCAGGGAAGAAAACGAUGACGGUACCUGAGGAGGAAGCCCCGGCUAACUACGUGCCAGCAGCCGCGGUAAUACGUAGGGGGCAAGCGUUGUCCGGAAUUAUUGGGCGUAAAGGGUGCGUAGGCGGCUUAUUAAGUCUGAUGUGAAAGACCACGGCUUACCCGUGGGGUUGCAUUGGAAACUGGUGAGCUUGAGUGUCGGAGAGGACAGUGGAAUUCCUAGUGUAGCGGUGAAAUGCGUAGAUAUUAGGAGGAACACCAGUGGCGAAGGCGACUGUCUGGACGACAACUGACGCUGAGGCACGAAAGCUAGGGGAGCGAAC